AACAGUGCCUCAUCAGUUAUCCCAAAUGAAAACUCUAAACGAUUGAGAAGUAUUGUAUGGUCGAUAGUGUCAAAUGCAGCAGAUAAGUCAAGCAUAAGCAAGACGACACAACAGUUAUUAUCAAGUGCGCACACAAUAUCAUUAUGGACGCGCAAGAGAGCGGUUUCCGUAGAAUGGUAGGCACGAUACGCUGACUGAACAUGAUCAUAGAGAGAAUAAGACGUGAUGUGAUUCUCAAAACGAGUGGCAACGACUUUCUCAUUUAUCUUGGAUAUGAAUGGUAAAUUAGAGACCGGCCG
rnacentral:lncRNA from 1 species